AGAGGGAGAAGAAGAGAGGAGAUAAAAUCAACUGAGACGAAAUUAAACCACUCCGAUUCACCAAAUCUUACGAGAUUUAAAACCCACCACUCAAAUCUUUCCUUCCCUCCCUCCUCAAUACCCACCCAGAUCGAUCUUACUUGCUUUCUCCAACUUUCAUCAUAUUCCUUUAAAUCUGCUCUCGUCCAUGUUAUUUCUAUCCAGUUCUUCCGUCUCUCGCUUUCUUCUUAUUGAUUUUCCCCAAUUGGGCAAACAUUUUCAAGUUAUAUUAACAC
rnacentral:lncRNA from 1 species